UUUUUUACAGCCUGCUCGGAACGGGAAUUCACUUUCCUGAGGUCACAAAGCUGGAAAGUAGAAGACCUGGGAUUUGAACCCAAGCAGUGUGGCUCCAGAGUCUAUGCCUUAACAGGGGUUCUGUUGGCCGGGGCUGGAGGCCACGCCAGAGACACCUCCUACCCUCUGCUCUUCCUUGCUGGAAACAACACGGCAUUCGGCGGUCAGAUAAUAGGACCUGGUGAUGUGAGGAGGCAGACAGGACCAUAAAUGAGGGGGAGCUGCCAAUCUCCAAAGAUCUCAACAAAGAAACCGGAUGGGAAACAUUCCAACCAGAGGGAAAAGCAUGUGCAAAAGUCCUGAGGAAAGGGGCACAUAGCAGGUUCUAGUCUGACGAGGCCACAGUUGGAAGACUGGAUUCCACUCUGGACGCCCUUGCUUAUUGGGAGAAAGACAUACAUGACAUUUUGUGGGGAACGAAGGCAUCAUCCCUGGAGAGAGCCUCACACGUGUGGCCAAGGAGACAUAUCCAAGUAUGUCCACUAUAGAAUUUUUAUCGGCAUCGACUUAGAUGCCCACCAACAGGGGACUGGACACAGGUAAUUCCGUGCACGCACAUGUUUUAAGAGCACAAUUGGGGACACCCACAAAUUGGGUGGUUCAGUCAGUUAAGCAUCCUACUUCGGCUCAGGUCAAGAUCUUGUGGUUCAUGAGUCCAAGCCCCACGUCAGGCUCUGUGCUGACAGCUCAGAGCCUCGAGCCUGUGUCUUCCUCUCUCUCUGCCCCUCCCCUGCUCACACUCUGUCUCUCUCUCUCUCUCAAAAAUGAAUAAAUGAAAGAAAAAUUUUUUUAAAAAUCGCAAUCAAAGUAGAUGAAACAGAGGUCUGUGUGUCAACAGGGGGAUCUUUCAAAACCAUGGCAGAGAGAGAAAAUGCUGAUCACGAAGUGAUCCGUAGCCCAUUUAAGAAACUGAAACCCCCCGAGAGGCCCCGUAUGUUUUUCAGAAUUCAUGUACGGUCUGUAAAACUCAUACGAAAAUGAGGAUAUGCAUUCUGAAUUCACGACAGUACGUGUGGGUGGGUGGGGUUACGGAGAGACUGGGCAGCUAGACUUAGCGUAUUAUUUUUCACGACUAUAUAAUAUUCCAUUGAAGGAUGAUACAGUUGAUCCUUGAACAACACGGGUAUGCGGUGUGCGGGUCCCCUUAUGUGAGAUUUUCUUCAAGAAGCACAGCCAGGUUCCUUAGGAUUGGCUCAACGAUGUUUUCUUUCCUGCAGCUUGCUUCAUUGUAAGAAUGUGGCAUAUAUUACGCAGCACAUAUACAACAUGUGAUACAAUACCACCUACUUUUGUGAUCUGGAGGGCUUCCAGUCAGAGUCGGCUAUCAGUGGUUACGUUUUCAGGGAUCCACAGUUACGUGCGGAUUGUCAGCUGCACCAGGAGGCAGUCCCCCCUGACCCCCACGUUGUUCAAGGGUUAAUUGUACUACGUUUUAUGCACGUAUUGCCCUGUUUGGAGAUACAUAGGUUGGUUCAGACGUUUUGCCGUUACCGUGUGAGAGCCCCAUCCCUCUUUCACGCAUUUCCAGACGCUCCUCCAGGAAGACAACUUUUUCUGUGCUAACAGAUUCUGUCAGUUUAUCCAAAGGUAAGCUGUCUGGGAAUAGUGUAAGCCACUUUGCAGGAUGUCCGUGAGCGUCCAAGCAUCGGCCGGACAGCCUCUUGGCGUAGCUGCGGUGGAGGGGGUUGCUGGCCCUACAUAGUCGUUGGCGUUCCUUCCACAUGUGCGAUCCCACAAUCUCUCCUCCUUCUGCGGUGGGACGUCCGCUUGCUGAAGACGUUUUAACUAAAUGCCUGGUGUCCGGUCAGGGUUUCGAAUGAGUAAGCCUGGGUCCAAAGCCUGCGCCGGUACCACGUAGCUGUCCGAUCUCGAGCCCGUUCUUUAAGUCCUCCUUGCCUCGGUCUCCUCAUCUGUAAAAUGGGUAAAUUCAAACGCCGGCCAAACCGAUCAUCCCUUUUUGAUGAUUCUGCCGGUUCGUGGAUGCGUACUCGCUCUAAUGGGGGUGGGAAGAGGUGGGGUCACCAGGCAAGCUGGCUGCCCCGGAUAUGUGGAGGUUGGAAGCUGUCUUCGCCCUGGGACAGGAAGGAAGUUCAAGGUUUAGCCCGCCCAUCACACCCAUUGCUGUGGCCAGCACAACCUUUUGUUCAGCAUUUUAUCUUUUUCAAAGCAGAUCCAUUAUCUCAUCUGUUCAUCAAAGGCCCCUGCAAGGAAGUCAGGCCGAGGAUGGGCCCAAGGAGAGAUGACUCAGGAAUCUGAAAGUCAAGGCCAGAAGCCUCUCUGUCAAGCGGCCCUCUGGGCUGAGUUUCUCCACUGAUCUCGGCCCAGGAGGCGGGUCAGGCUGUCCAGGCCAGGCCUGAAAUACCCACAGAGAGGCUUCCUUCCCCUCGACGCUGGACCGUGCUCCCCAGCCCCGCCAGAUGGACUGCAGAUGUGAGCUCUGGGUUGCAAGAGAGGCCAGGGGACAGGCAAAGCUCAUCUCCUUGCGUGGGAUGUCGGGCCCCAAGCCUGGUCCCGGGAGGCCACAGAAGCGUGAUGCGGGGGUCCUGGGAGUUCAAGUUCACAGAGUCUUGGCAACAGGAAGGUGGUGCUGAAGAUACGGUCACGCUCCUGUGAUGCGGGUAGCUGUCAGAGCACAUCCCGGGCAACGGCUGUCUCGUCUUACAGCCUCCGCAUCGGCGUGGACAUAAGCCACAACCCUGUGUCAUCCCUGCAGCCCAGCCAGCCCAGGAGCAUCUGCUGGGUCGGCAGAAAGCUGCCUCUUCCAAUGGGUUAGGCCCCCACUGCCCCUCCUUCAGCCUGUUCGAAGAUCCUGGAGCCCUUCCCUCGUGUCAUCUUUGCGAGUUGCUGAUGUUGACUUUAAAA